UCUUCACGUGCGGAUCUUGAGCUUUCUCAAC
rnacentral:piRNA from 1 species